rnacentral:ribozyme from 1 species
UUUUUUUUUUUUUUUUUUUUUUUUUUUUUUUUUUUUUUUUUUUUUC